rnacentral:lncRNA from 1 species
GGGCGAUAAGCCUCUCAGGCAAGUGCUCUAUCACUGACCCAUACCCCCAGCCUUUUACUUAAUUUUGAGACAGGGUCUUGCUAAGCUGCCCAGGCAGACCUGCACUUGCAAUCCUCCUGCCUCAGCUUGCUCAACUUGAUUCCACUCGCAAAGAUCCUGUCUCCACACAGGUCCCAUCCACAGGUACCAGCAGGUAGGACUCGAACACGGAGUCCUACCGCGGAGGAGGUGGACCACAACACAAGGAGGCGGAGGAUUGGACAGAGAAUUCCAGGCAAGGGGACCCGCGAGACGAAAGGCCAGGACAGCCCACAGAUCCCUCUGCUGGAGCCGCCGCUGGUCCCCGAGGGGCAGCGGCCAUCUGGGACGGCAAGCGGCUCAGCGGGAGCUGGGCGCAGUGGGACGGUCAGCGGGCGCGACGCGCACCUGGCAAGCUUGGACAGAAGGAACCGUGCAAUUAAGAAGCGAUCAGAGCGCACCGGAGGACAUGCUGCUCCGCUCCGCAGGGCCGUGUGCGCGCUGCGCGGAGACUGCAGCGGACACCUGUGCGCCGGGCAGCCGGGGCCGGCCAGCCCGCGCCGACGGGCCUCUCUAGGGGCCUUGGGGUAACUGAGUUCCUCACCCGCCUGAAAACCUCGUUGUCAUGGAAAUGCCCUUUGUUCAGGGUCUGCAACUGGGACCCAAUAACAACUCUCAAAUACAUGCUUUCACGGCAACAGUAUGUUUUAAAACACAAAUUCAGCAAAAGCACAUGAAUUUAUUUAUGUAUUUGUUUGGUCUUUUGAGACAGGGUAGCGCAGGCUGGCUUCGAACUCGUGGCGAGCCUCCUGCCUCAGCCUGCCGAGGGCUGGGACUAUAUGUGUGCGUCACCACGCCGGGCUAAAGGCACACGAAUUUAAAGGGAAAAAAAUUAAGUAAACAGAAGCGAAGUGGUGCCAGGCGCCCAGAGUGGGAACGCCGCAGCCCGGCCGCUCCCCGCGUCAGACACCCGGCCCGGGCUCGGCCCCGGCGGGGGAGGAGCGAGGGCGGAGCGCGGCCUUCCGGGCCCCGAGGCCAGCGAGGAGGCGCUGCCGAACCUCCCCGCCCGCCCAAGGCCUGGGGAGCCCGCGCGCUCAGCGCGGAAGCUCCGCGCCGCUCCUUCAUCCGGGUGACCGCGGUUCGAGACUUCGGCCCGCCCAGUUUCCUCUUUUGGGAACCGCGGAGGCCGAGGCGGGCAAUGUGGGACGGGGUGCGCGAGGACGGCUGCGGACGGCAGGGCCGGCGGGAGCCUCUGCGCGGGACCACUGCCCCAUAGCCGUGCUUGGACCCGCCGCAGCGCCCCGACUCUCGCGCGUUCUAAAACGAGGACAAAGCCCGCCCGGAUCUAGAGCGCGCGCGCCGUCGGGACCAAUAGGAAACCGGCGCUAGAUUGAGUGACGUAUGUAGGCCGCCAAUCAACACACACCUUGUUGCGAGGUGCGCCCGGCUCCGGCAUUAUAAAGAGCGCCACGAGUCGGCAUUGUCAAGCGGCGGCAGCGCGCGGGCCGGAGCCAGGCGGCGGGUGGUGGGUUCUGUGCGGCGGCGGUCGAGCGGGGAACUCGGCCGGAGCGGCUCCGUCGGCAGACGGAGGCGAGGUCCGGGCAGCG